rnacentral:rRNA from 1 species
GACGAACGCUGGCGGCGUGCUUAACACAUGCAAGUCGAACGGUAAGGCUCCAGCUUGCUGGGGUACACGAGUGGCGAACGGGUGAGUAACACGUGGGUGACCUGCCCUGCACUUCGGGAUAAGCCUGGGAAACUGGGUCUAAUACCGGAUAGGACUGCACCGUGAGGGUGUGGUGGAAAGUUUUUUCGGUGUGGGAUGGGCCCGCGGCCUAUCAGCUUGUUGGUGGGGUAAUGGCCUACCAAGGCGGCGACGGGUAGCCGGCCUGAGAGGGUGGACGGCCACAUUGGGACUGAGACACGGCCCAGACUCCUACGGGAGGCAGCAGUGGGGAAUAUUGCACAAUGGGCGGAAGCCUGAUGCAGCGACGCCGCGUGGGGGAUGACGGCCUUCGGGUUGUAAACUCCUUUCGCCAUCGACGAAGGGUUUCUGACGGUAGAUGGAGAAGAAGCACCGGCUAACUACGUGCCAGCAGCCGCGGUAAUACGUAGGGUGCGAGCGUUGUCCGGAAUUACUGGGCGUAAAGAGCUCGUAGGUGGUUUGUCGCGUCGUCUGUGAAAUUCCGGGGCUUAACUCCGGGCGUGCAGGCGAUACGGGCAUAACUUGAGUACUGUAGGGGAGACUGGAAUUCCUGGUGUAGCGGUGAAAUGCGCAGAUAUCAGGAGGAACACCGGUGGCGAAGGCGGGUCUCUGGGCAGUAACUGACGCUGAGGAGCGAAAGCAUGGGGAGCGAACAGGAUUAGAUACCCUGGUAGUCCAUGCCGUAAACGGUGGGCGCUAGGUGUGGGUUUCCUUCCACGGGAUCCGUGCCGUAGCUAACGCAUUAAGCGCCCCGCCUGGGGAGUACGGCCGCAAGGCUAAAACUCAAAGGAAUUGACGGGGGCCCGCACAAGCGGCGGAGCAUGUGGAUUAAUUCGAUGCAACGCGAAGAACCUUACCUGGGCUUGACAUAUACAGGAUCGCGCCAGAGAUGGUGUUUCCCUUGUGGCUUGUAUACAGGUGGUGCAUGGUUGUCGUCAGCUCGUGUCGUGAGAUGUUGGGUUAAGUCCCGCAACGAGCGCAACCCUUGUCUUAUGUUGCCAGCACGUUGUGGUGGGGACUCGUAAGAAACUGCCGGGGUUAACUCGGAGGAAGGUGGGGAUGACGUCAAAUCAUCAUGCCCCUUAUGUCCAGGGCUUCACACAUGCUACAAUGGUCGGUACAGUGGGUUGCCAGUCCGUGAGGGCGAGCUAAUCCCGCAAAGCCGGUCUCAGUUCGGAUCGGGGUCUGCAACUCGACCCCGUGAAGUCGGAGUCGCUAGUAAUCGCAGAUCAGCAACGCUGCGGUGAAUACGUUCCCGGGCCU